rnacentral:rRNA from 1 species
AACCGGAUUAGAUACCCUGGUAGUCCACGCCCUAAACGAUGAAUACUCGAUGUUGGCGAUAUACGGUCAGCGUCUAAGCGAAAGCGUUAAGUAUUCCACCUGGGGAGUACGCCCGCAAGGGUGAAACUCAAAGGAAUUGACGGGGGCCCGCACAAGCGGAGGAGCAUGUGGUUUAAUUCGAUGAUACGCGAGGAACCUUACCCGGGCUUGAAAGUUAGUGAAUGGAGCAGAGACGCUCCAGUCCUUCGGGACACGAAACUAGGUGCCGCAUGGCUGUCGUCAGCUCGUGCCGUGAGGUGUUGGGUUAAGUCCCGCAACGAGCGCAACCCCUAUGUUUAGUUGCCAGCACGUCAAGGUGGGGACUCUAAACAGACUGCCUACGCAAGUAGAGAGGAAGGAGGGGACGACGUCAAGUCAUCAUGGCCCUUACGUCCGGGGCUACACACGUGCUACCAUGGAUGGUACAGAGGGCCGCUACCUGGUAACAGGAUGCCAAUCUCAAAAAGCCAUUCACAGUUCGGAUUGAGGUCUGCAACUCGACCUCAUGAGGUUGGAUUCGCUAGUAAUCGCAGAUCAGCAAUGCUGCGGUGAAUACGUUCCCGGGCCUUGUACACACCGCCCGUCAAGCCAUGGAAGCUGGAAGUGCCUGAAGUGCGUAACCGUAAGGAGCGUCCUAGGGUAAAGUCGGUAACUGGGGCUAAGUCGUAACAAGGUAACCGUA